rfam:Apaloderma vittatum contig105329, whole genome shotgun sequence.
UGCUAGACUAAAACAUUUUUUCAUACCCCAGUAUGGGUGACAGAAAAGGUUUGACUUAAUUGGCGCUAUAGAGAUCAACCGUACCGUAAGGGAAAGAUGAAAUAUGAGUGAAAAGCCAAGCAACAAACAGCAAAGAUGAACCCUUGUACCUUUUGCAUCAUGAUGUAGCAAGAAAAAUCAAGCUAAACGAAUUUAAGCUUGCCUCCCCGAAACCUGAGCGAGCUACCUGUAAGCAGCUAUAAAUCUUGAGCGAACCCGUCUCUGUUGCAAAAGAGUGGGAUGACUUACUGGUAGAGGUGAAAAGCCAACCGAGCCGGGUGAUAGCUGGUUACCUGUGAAAUGAACUAGAGUUCCACUCUGAUUUGCUCAACAUAGGCCACCCCUAUACUAACCCUACUGCAGACAAUCAGAAGAUAUUUAAAGGAGGAACAGCUCCUUUAAAAAAGAAUUCAAUCUCACCAAGAGGAUAACCCCAACAAACAUUUAUUAAGCGCCUGUAGGCCUUCAAGCAGCCAUCAGUAAAGAAUGCGUCAAAGCUCUUUGUUUAUAAAAAUCCAUAAAAAAACACAACUCCCUCACCACAUUAACAGGUUAAUCUAUCAUACAAAUAGAAGAAUUAAUGCUAGAAUAAGUAACUAUGGGUAUUCCCCUCUAUAAGCGCAAACUUACAUCCUGCAUUAUUAACAGACUUACCAAUACCAAAAGACCGACAAGAUAUGAUAUUGAAUCAACCUGUUAACCCAACUCAGGAGCGCCUACAAAGAAGAUUAAAAUCUGUAAAAGGAACUAGGCAAACAUAAGGCCCGACUGUUUACCAAAAACAUAGCCUUCAGCCAACCAAGUAUUGAAGGUGAUGCCUGCCCAGUGACCUCACGUUCAACGGCCGCGGUAUCCUAACCGUGCAAAGGUAGCGCAAUCAAUUGUCCCAUAAAUCGAGACCUGUAUGAAUGGCUAAACGAGGUCUUAACUGUCUCUUGCAGAUAAUCAGUGAAAUUGAUCCUCCUGUGAAAAAGCAGGAAUAAUUACAUAAGACGAGAAGACCCUGUGGAACUUCAAAAUCAGCAGCUACCUGCUUACUACUUACCCCCUAAUAGGCUUAAUCCAUAGACACACUAGCCUGCAUUUUUCGGUUGGGGCGACCUUGGAGAAAAACAAAGCCUCCAAAAAUAAGACCAAAUCUCUUGACCAAGAGUUACAUCUCAACGUGCCCACAGCAACCAGACCCAAUACAAUUGAUUAAUGGACCAAGCUACCCCAGGGAUAACAGCGCAAUCUCCCUCAAGAGCCCAUAUCGACAGGGGGGUUUACGACCUCGAUGUUGGAUCAGGACAUCCUAAUGGUGCAGCCGCUAUUAAGGGUUCGUUUGUUCAACGAUUAACAGUCCUACGUGAUCUGAGUUCAGACCGGAGCAAUCCAGGUCGGUUUCUAUCUAUGAUUAACUUUUCCCAGUACGAAAGGACCGGAAAAGUAGGGCCAAUAUUAAAUACACGCCCUCCCCUAAAGUAAUGAAUUUAUCUAAAUUACCAAAGGGCCACCCACCCACAUGUCCUAGAUAAGGACUUAAGCUAGCGUGGCAGAGCCCGGAAAUUGCAAAAGGCUUAAGCCCUUUACCCAGAGGUUCAAGUCCUCUCUCUAGCUUA